GCAGCACGGACUUCGGUCUGGUGGCGAGUGGCGAACGGGUGAGUAAUAUAUCGGAACAUACCCAGUAGUGGGGGAUAACUAUCCGAAAGGAUAGCUAAUACCGCAUACGAUCUGUGGAUGAAAGCAGGGGAUCUUCGGACCUUGUGCUAUUGGAAUGGCCGAUAUCUGAUUAGCUAGUUGGUAGGGUAAAAGCCUACCAAGGCGACGAUCAGUAGCUGGUCUGAGAGGACGACCAGCCACACUGGAACUGAGACACGGUCCAGACUCCUACGGGAGGCAGCAGUGGGGAAUUUUGGACAAUGGGGGCAACCCUGAUCCAGCAAUGCCGCGUGAGUGAAGAAGGCCCUCGGGUUGUAAAGCUCUUUUGUCAGGGAAGAAACGGAGUUCUCUAAUAUAGGAUUCUAAUGACGGUACCUGAAGAAUAAGCACCGGCUAACUACGUGCCAGCAGCCGCGGUAAUACGUAGGGUGCAAGCGUUAAUCGGAAUUACUGGGCGUAAAGCGUGCGCAGGCGGUUUUGUAAGUCUGAUGUGAAAUCCCCGGGCUCAACCUGGGAACUGCAUUGGAGACUGCAAGGCUAGAGUGUGUCAGAGGGGGGUAGAAUUCCACGUGUAGCAGUGAAAUGCGUAGAGAUGUGGAGGAAUACCGAUGGCGAAGGCAGCCCCCUGGGAUAACACUGACGCUCAUGCACGAAAGCGUGGGGAGCAAACAGGAUUAGAUACCCUGGUAGUCCACGCCCUAAACGAUGUCUACUAGUUGUCGGGACUUAAUUGUCUUGGUAACGCAGCUAACGCGUGAAGUAGACCGCU
rnacentral:rRNA from 1 species